rnacentral:rRNA from 1 species
UACGAAGGGUGCAAGCGUUACUCGGAAUUACUGGGCGUAAAGCGUGCGUAGGUGGUUUGUUAAGCCUGAUGUGAAAGCCCUGGGCUCAACCUGGGAAUUGCAUUGGAUACUGGCAGGCUAGAGUGCGGUAGAGGAUGGCGGAAUUCCCGGUGUAGCAGUGAAAUGCGUAGAGAUCGGGAGGAACAUCUGUGGCGAAGGCGGCCAUCUGGACCAGCACUGACACUGAGGCACGAAAGCGUGGGGAGCAAACAGG